AAAAUGGCGACACCCAUCAACAUUGUGCAACUUUCAUUUGUGUCAACUAUCCUUUAUCAGUUGUUGUUCAUCAGUCAACAAAUAUUGUUAUGUGAUUGACAAGUCUAAAACAUAGAUACAUUUCUUAAAUCAAUAAAAAAAAAUCACAGAGAAAUUAAUACCCAAAUUGAUAAAGGAACUUGUAUUUUGACUCUUAAAGUCUGAACAUGGAUAAACAUUUGCUUGAAGCCAAAAUCCGAUACCAAGUGGCGUGUGAAGAGAAGGCCCACCAUCUUGUCCUACAGCUAUUGGAGCCAGGGAUAACCGAGGACGAGCUGGUUAAUGCUGGCCUUUAUUUAACUCCUAAUCACUACCAAGAUAUAACAGAGGAAAGAGCAAUUAGCAGGAUAUGUGGCUACCCUGUAUGUGUGAACCAAAUUACGAAGUCAUUAAAUCAAAAGUAUCAUAUUUCUACAAAAACCAACAGAGUAUAUGACAUAACAGAUAGAAAGAAUUUUUGCAGCAAUGAGUGUUAUAAGGCCUCAGUUUAUUACCAAAAACAAAUUUCCACUUCACCUUUGUGGUCAAGAAAAGAGGAAAAGCCCACACCAAUUGACCUGCUUCCCAAGGAGAUGAACAGAGGUGCUAUGGGAAAAGAAGUCAUCAACCAACAAACAGAAAUGUACAGAGAAGCAAAACGUUUGAGAGAAGAAGAGAAAAAAGACCAGAGUCGAAAAGAAAAGACAAAAGAAAAAGAAAGUGGUACUGCUGAAACAGAAGGGAAGGAAAGAAAUAUGGUGAAAGGAGAUAUGAACUUUGAUGACUUAGAUUUGGAUGUCCAAAACCUUAAUUUACAGGAAGAACAAAAUGGUGAAAUGUGUCUCCAUGAGAUAGAUAAGGAAAGAAACUCAGUAGAAAAAGCAAAGAAAAAUACGACCAGAAGAAAACAUGAACCAACCAUGACAUCCUCUGUGACAUCCACCUCGGAUGAUAAGCAAAGGGAUAAGAUAGACAGACUGAUGGCUCUGCUAGACAGGAGGAAACAUCUGUUAGGUAAAUUAGUUCAGGAUGAAAGGACUGUUACAGAAGCUCCUUCUAAACCAGAAAAAGAACUCAGUGAUGAGGACAGUGCUGGGGAAUGUGAUCAGCCUCCUUCUCAAAUUGAGGCUCAUAGUGAAUAUGAAGAAAAUGUGAUUAUCCAAUCAAAAGUUACAGAAAUUAGUGAAACAAAAUUCACGCCACCUGUAUGUGUUCCAGAAGUGUCAAAGAAGAGAAAAUCAAGAGAGAAACUCUCCAAUGUUGAGAUGACUUACCUGAGAAUGGUGUGUGAGAUUUUGAAGGAAUGGAUAACUCCAGAGACUGUGAGGUUUGUGAGGAUCCAAAGUGAGGAGGAGGAGGAGGGGCUAAGCACCACGAGGACAGAGAUGGAGGCCAAGAUGAGGGAUCUUUGUAGACGAGUAGACUACCAAGAGGCUGCUCUUGAUGACCUUAUAGGGAAGGAAGAUAAUUUGGAAGACCAGCUGCCCCUGAGGUCACCAGCACCAAACUAUGAGUCCCUGAAGAAGGACACUCAAGAGUUUACCCGAAGAGUCCAAGACUUCUUUGCUGCUGGGAAGGUCAUUAAAGAGAAGGAGCCGGACACCCAGGCCCCAGUCAACCUGCCCUCCGUGGACACCUACAACCAGAUGCUGAUUAGGCGGAGGAUCGUGAUAGAGCAGCUCAACAAAGUAAUACCUGAUCUCCUGUCUCCACUGAAGCUCACUAUUCAAGACAUGUUUGCAGAGAUGAAGGAACUGGUGAUGACAUUCCGAUUGACCAGCAGUAACAUUGUAUUUAAACCUGUGGAGUGGUCCCUGGUAGGAGUGAUUCUCCUCAAACUGUAAGUCUACAAACACGAAUCCAUUUCAUAGCUCCACCAAUUUCUUAACAGAAACAAUGUGCGUUUGCAAAAAAGAGUACUCUCCCUUUGAUAGAUUGUCACGGAGGAACCUGCACGUGUCCUGCGCCUUUCUGAACCCCUCGGCUGUCCAGUAUUUCUCCGUCUUCCUGGGCGGUAUUCAGGAGACUAUGCACAAUGUAGACUUGUAUGUGACUGAUCUGCUUCAACAACACAAUAAAUGAACUGAUGUUACAAAAUCUGUACCCCCGUCUUGUGUAUUGAAGAUAGAGAGAAUGGGAAAUGUUCAUGGAAAAGGGUUUAUAGGCUUUGUUGCCCUUUCCUAUUGAGCUAUUAAUAUAAUGUGUUUAAAUUAAUUAAAUUUCAAUUUUAUU
rnacentral:misc_RNA from 1 species